rnacentral:rRNA from 1 species
UACGUAGGGUGCGAGCGUUGUCCGGAAUUACUGGGCGUAAAGAGCUCGUAGGCGGUUUGUCACGUCUGCUGUGAAAACUGGAGGCUCAACCUCCAGCCUGCAGUGGGUACGGGCAGACUAGAGUGCGGUAGGGGAGAUUGGAAUUCCUGGUGUAGCGGUGGAAUGCGCAGAUAUCAGGAGGAACACCGAUGGCGAAGGCAGAUCUCUGGGCCGUAACUGACGCUGAGGAGCGAAAGCAUGGGGAGCGAACAGG